GCCCAGGUGGCGGAAUUGGUAGACGCGCUAGGUUCAGGUCCUAGUGAGCGCAAGCUUUUGGAAGUUCGAGUCUUCUCCUGGGCACCA
rnacentral:tRNA from 1 species